GUGCCAGCAGCCGCGGUAAUACGUAGGGUGCGAGCGUUAAUCGGAAUUACUGGGCGUAAAGCGUGCGCAGGCGGUUAUAUAAGACAGUUGCGAAAUCCCCGGGCUUAACCUGGGAAUGGCGCUUGUGACUGCACGACUGGAGUGCGGCAGAGGGGGAUGGAAUUCCGCGUGUAGCAGUGAAAUGCGUAGAUAUGCGGAGGAACACCGAUGGCGAAGGCAGUCCCCUGGGCCUGCACUGACGCUCAUGCACGAAAGCGUGGGGAGCAAACAGGAUUAGAUA
rnacentral:rRNA from 1 species